CUCGGGGGCGGAGGGAUCCCACAGCCCAGAUUGCAAGAGGGCGCGGGCCUGGCUGAGGGAGCCCACCAGUACAUG
rnacentral:pre_miRNA from 1 species